rnacentral:rRNA from 1 species
GAGACAGCAGCCGCCGCGGGAAAACGGAGGGUGCAAGCGUUAAUCGGAAUUACUGGGCGUAAAGCGCACGCAGGCGGUCUGACAAGUCAGAUGUGAAAUCCCCGGGCUUAACCUGGGAACUGCAUUUGAAACUGUCAGGCUGGAGUCUUGUAGAGGGGGGUGGAAUUCCAGGUGUAGCGGUGAAAUGCGUAGAGAUCUGGAGGAAUACCGGUGGCGAAGGCGGCCCCCUGGACAAAGACUGACGCUCAGGUGCGAAAGCGUGGGGAGCAAACAGGAUUAGAUACCCGCGUAGUCCCUGUCUCUUAUAC